rnacentral:tRNA from 1 species
GCUUGGGUCGCCUAGUGGCCGAUGGCACCGCAUUUGUGAUGCGGUAUGAGAAAUCUACACCGUGGGUUCGACUCCCACCCCAAGCUCCA